CCACUGGUAAACGGGCCAACUGAUGUCCUCUCUUAGCAGCAGAAGAAGAGCUGCUCCCCUUCCUUUGGGGAAGAAUUCUGUAUUUAUUUGAGCUGCCCAGCUCAGGCCUGCAGGAUAGGGCCCCACUCCAUCAAGGCUUCUGUUUCCUCCUGAGCCCGAGCAGAUGAUGCCUUCUCUUAUAGCCUCCAUCCUUCUUCCCAGAACACUCCAGUGCUUUUGGAGCCAAUUACUCCUCACAGCCUCUGGAUGAGAGUUGGCCAAGGCAGCAGCCUCCUUGGAAAGACGAAAAGCAUCCUGGGUUCAGGCUGACAUCUGCACUUAACAGGACCAAUUCUGAUUCUGCUCUUCACACGAGUGCUCUGAGCACCAAGCCCCAGGACCCCUAUGGAGGAGGGGGCCAGUCGGCCUGGCCUGCCCCAUACAUGGGUUUCUGUGAUGGUGAGAAUAAUGGACAUGGGGAAGAUUCAGUCCCUGUCAGGACGCCCUCGAUCCUGUGAUGUUGGAGGUGGCAAUGCUUUUCCAC
rnacentral:sRNA from 1 species